AUAAGCCUGUGUCAGGAGCCUGAGGGGCAGGAUGAAGAGAGACAAGUCUGUGACCUGCAAACAGCUGGUAACUUUAAUGAGAUCACAUUAGAGAAAAUAAACUUGCUGAGGACUCAAUUAAA